GGUUGCUAACUGAAAACCGGUUCUUGAGAGUUGAGGCCUGUUGCCGCCUGUUAAGGUUCCUGGCCAUACUGUAUAUGGACAAUUGUUUGUGAAAGUUAUCUUCGCCGGGUGAGCUCCACAAAAAAGAAAGGUGAAAGUAAGGCCGAGGAGCACAGAAGUCUUGUUCAUGGUUGAUUGCUUUGAAUGGAAUAGGAUUGAGCACUUA
rnacentral:misc_RNA from 1 species